CCUACGGGAGGCAGCAGUGGGGAAUAUUGGGCAAUGGGCGCAAGCCUGACCCAGCAACGCCGCGUGAAGGAAGAAGGCUUUCGGGUUGUAAACUUCUUUUAUCAGGGACGAAGCAAGUGACGGUACCUGAUCAAUAAGCCACGGCUAACUACGUGCCAGCAGCCGCGGUAAUACGUAGGUGGCAAGCGUUAUCCGGAUUUACUGGGUGUAAAGGGCGUGUAGGCGGGAGUGCAAGUCAGAUGUGAAAACUAUGGGCUCAACCCAUAGCCUGCAUUUGAAACUGUACUUCUUGAGUGCUGGGGAGGCAAUCGGAAUUCCGGGUGUAGCGGUGAAAUGCGUAGAUAUACGGAGGAACACCAGUGGCGAAGGCGGAUUGCUGGACAGUAACUGACGCUGAGGCGCGAAAGCGUGGGGAGCAAACAGGAUUAGAUACCCGAGUAGUC
rnacentral:rRNA from 1 species